CGCACUCUUCGGAGUGAGUGGCAGACGGGUGAGUAACGCGUGGAAACGUGCCUUUCUCUACGGAAUAGCCCUUGGAAACGAGGUGUAAUACCGUAUACGCCCUUAGGGGGAAAGAUUUAUCGGAGAAAGAUCGGUCCGCGUUAGAUUAGUUUGUUGGUGGGGUAAUGGCCUACCAAGACUACGAUCUAUAGCUGAUUUGAGAGGAUGAUCAGCCACACUGGAACUGAGACACGGUCCAGACUCCUACGGGAGGCAGCAGUGGGGAAUCUUGGACAAUGGGGGAAACCCUGAUCCAGCCAUGCCGCGUGAAUGAUGAAGGCCUUAGGGUUGUAAAAUUCUUUCACCGGGGAAGAUAAUGACGGUACCCGGAGAAGAAGCUCCGGCUAACUUCGUGCCAGCAGCCGCGGUAAUACGAAGGGAGCUAGCGUUGUUCGGAAUUACUGGGCGUAAAGCGCACGUAGGCGGAUUAGUAAGUAAGAGGUGAAAUCCCAGGGCUCAACCCUGGAACUGCCUUUUAAACUGCUAGUCUAGAGGAUAGGAGAGGUCAGUGGAAUACCGAGUGUAGAGGUGAAAUUCGUAGAUAUUCGGUGGAACACCAGUGGCGAAGGCGACUG
rnacentral:rRNA from 1 species